rnacentral:rRNA from 1 species
AACGAACGCUGGCGGCAUGCCUAACACAUGCAAGUCGAACGAGACCUUCGGGUCUAGUGGCGCACGGGUGCGUAACGCGUGGGAACCUGCCCUUAGGUUCGGAAUAACUCCCCGAAAGGGGUGCUAAUACCGGAUAAUGUCUUCGGACCAAAGAUUUAUCGCCUUUGGAUGGGCCCGCGUUGGAUUAGCUAGUUGGUAGGGUAAAAGCCUACCAAGGCGACGAUCCAUAGCUGGUCUGAGAGGAUGAUCAGCCACACUGGGACUGAGACACGGCCCAGACGCCUACGGGAGGCAGCAGUGGGGAAUAUUGGACAAGGGGCGAAAGCCUGAUCCAGCAAUGCCGCGUGAGUGAUGAAGGCCUUAGGGUUGUAAAGCUCUUUUACCCGGGAUGAUAAUGACAGUACCGGGAGAAUAAGCUCCGGCUAACUCCGU